CCUACGGAAGGCAGCAGUGAGGAAUAUUGGUCAAUGGACGAGAGUCUGAACCAGCCAAGUCGCGUGAAGGAUGACUGCCCUCUGGGUUGUAACCUUUUUUUAUAUGGGAAUAAAAUGUUCCACGUGUGGGAUUUUGUAUGUCCCAUAUGAAUAAGGAUCGGCUAACUACGUGCCAGCAGCCGCGGUAAUACGGAGGAUCCGAGCGUUAUCCGGAUUUAUUGGGUUUAAAGGGUCCGUAGGUGGAUUGUUAAGUCAGUUGUGAAAGUUUGCGGCUCAACCGUAAAAUUGCAGUUGAAACUGGCAGUCUUGAGUACAGUAGAGGUGGGCGGAAUUCGUGGUGUAGCGGUAAAAUGCGUAGAGAUCACGAAGAACUCCGAUUGCGAAGGCAGCUCACUGGACUGCAACUGACACUGAGGCGCGAAAGUGUGGGGAGCAAACAGGAUUAGAUACCCGGGUAGUC
rnacentral:rRNA from 1 species